GCCUGGAUGGCUCAGUGGUUGAGCAUCUGUCUUUGGCUCAGGGUGUAACCCUGUAGUCCUGGGAUCAAGUCCCACAUCAGGCU
rnacentral:tRNA from 1 species